GCCUGAACUGGUGGUCCACUGUGUGCACGAGCUGUAAACGGCUUCUUCCUUUGGCCACUACAGGGGACGGGAACUGCCUUUUACACGCAGCCUCUCUGGGAAUGUGGGGGUUUCACGACCGGGACCUUGUGUUGCGGAAAGCUCUCUACACAAUGAUGAGGACAGGAGCUGAAAGAGAAGCCCUAAAGCGGAGGUGGAGGUGGCAGCAGACGCAGCAGAACAAGGAGUCAGGGCUGCUGUACACCGAGGAGGAAUGGGAGCGGGAGUGGACGGAGCUGCUGAAAUUGGCGUCCAGCGAGCCACGCACGCACUUCAGCAAGAACGGUGGCACAGG